UACCUGCUGCCUCCUGGAUCUGCAGGACGUGCAUGUCUUCCACCGGGGCCGCUGGGGCCACAUCUGAUAAAGAUUACAGGACAGGGCCAUUUUCAGGCUGGCUAUAAGGAGUUCAAUAUUUCAGCAAAAUGGAUUUUGAGAAUAUGAGGAAAAGAACUGGGUCAGUCUCCAAGGAGAGCCUUCAGGAUACACACGGCAAGAUAAUGGAAUUCAUCACCUAUUCUGAGGGCUCCGCCGUGUUAACACAGCUUACCACUCUCAGGCAGAAUAAAGUUCAUGAUUUA